CGGGUCGAUGAGACGGUCGCGUUGGCCGGCGCAUCCCCUGGGGACAUGGCCGGUCACCGAGGAACGUCCGGGCUCCACAGAGCAGGACGGUGGGUAACACCCACCCGGAGCAAUCCGCGAGAAAGUGCAACAGAGAGCAGACCGCCACCGGCGGGAUCAUCCUCGGAUGACCGUGCCGGCGGUAAGGGUGAAACGGUGGUGUAAGAGACCACCAGGGGCCCGAGUGAUCGGGCUCGCUGGGUAAACCUCGUCCGGAGCAAGGUCAGACAGGGAACGCCACGGGCUGCUCGCCCAGUUCCCGGGUAGACCGCUAGAGGUGUGCGGUAACGCACAUCGUAGAGAGAUGGCCGUCGAUGGCGGAGGGGGGAGACCCCCGAUGCCGGGACAGAACCCGGCGUACGGUCGGCCCGUUUG
rnacentral:RNase_P_RNA from 1 species